AGUGAACGCUGGCGGUAGGCCUAACACAUGCAAGUCGAACGGCAGCACAGUAAGAGCUUGCUCUUACGGGUGGCGAGUGGCGUACGGGUGAGGAAUACAUCGGAAUCUACUUUUUCGUGGGGGAUAACGUAGGGAAACUUACGCUAAUACCGCAUACGACCUACGGGUGAAAGCAGGGGAUCUUCGGACCUUGCGCGAUUGAAUGAGCCGAUGUCGGAUUAGCUAGUUGGCGGGGUAAAGGCCCACCAAGGCGACGAUCCGUAGCUGGUCUGAGAGGAUGAUCAGCCACACUGGAACUGAGACACGGUCCAGACUCCUACGGGGGGCAGCAGUGGGGAAUAUUGGACAAUGGGCGCAAGCCUGAUCCAGCCAUACCGCGUGGGUGAAGAAGGCCUUCGGGUUGUAAAGCCCUUUUGUUGGGAAAGAAAAGCAGCAGGUUAAUACCCCGCUGUUCUGACGGUACCCAAAGAAUAAGCACCGGCUAACUUCGUG
rnacentral:rRNA from 1 species